ensembl:lncRNA
CAAAAACCUAUCCAGAUCCAUAUAAAAGUACAUCAUGUAUGUUUUGUGGUUUUGUACUCAAAAGUACAUCAUGUAUGUUUUGUGGUGGUGUGUGGUGGGGUGUGGAGGUGGUGUAGUGGGGUGUGGAGGUGGUGUAGGGGGGUGUGGAGGUGGUGUAGGGGGGUGUGGAGGUGUGUAGUGGUGUGUGGAGGUGGUGUAGUGGUGUGUGGAGGUGGUGUAGUGGUGUGUGGUGGUGUGUGGAGGUGGUGUAGUGGUGUGUGGAGGUGGUGUAGUGGUGUGUGGAGGUGGUGUAGUGGUGUGGAGGUGGUGUAGUGGUGUGUGGAGGUGGUGUAGUGGUGUGUGGAGGUGGUGUAGUGGUGUGUGGAGGUGGUGUAGUGGUGUGUGGAGGUGUGUGGAGGUGGUGUAGUGGUGUGUGGAGGUGGUGUGGAGGUGGUGUAGUGGGGUGUGGAGGUGUGUAGUGGUGUGUGGAGGUGGUGUGGAGGUGGUGUAGUGGUGUGUGGAGGCGUGUAGUGGUGUGUGGAGGUGGUGUAGUGGGGUGUAGUGGUGUGUGGAGGUGUGUAGUGGGGUGUAGUGGUGUGUGGAGGUGUGUAGUGGUGUGUGGAGGUGGGGUGUGGAGGUGGUGUAGUGGUGUGUGGAGGUGUGUGGAGGUGGUGUAGUGGGGUGUGGAGGCGUGUGGAGGUGUUGUAGUGGGGUGUGGAGGUGGUGUAGUGGUGUGUGGAGGCGUGUGGAGGGGUGUGGAGGUGGUGUAGUGGUGUGUGGAGGUGGUGUAGUGGUGUGUGGAGGUGUGUGGAGGUGUGUAGUGGUGUGUGGAGGUGGUGUAGUGGUGUGUGGAGGUGUGUAGUGGGGUGUGGAGGUGGUGUAGUGGGGUGUGGAGGUGGUGUAGUGGUGUGUGGAGGUGGUGUAGUGGUGUGUGGAGGUGUGUGGUGGGGUGUGGAGGUGGUGUAGUGGUGUGUGGAGGUGUGUAGUGGUGUGUGGAGGUGGUGCAGUGGUGUGUGGAGGCGUGUGGAGGUGGUGUAGUGGUGUGUGGAGGUGGUGUAGUGGUGUGUGGUGGUGUGUGGAGGUGGUGUAGUGGUUUGUGGAGGCGUGUGGAGGUGGUGUAGUGGUGUGUGGAGGUGGUGUAGUGGUGUGUGGAGGUGUGUGGUGGUGUGUGGAGGUGUGUAGUGGUGUGUGGAGGUGGUGUAGUGGUGUGUGGAGGUGUGUAGUGGUGUGUGGAGGUGGUGUAGUGGUGUGUGGAGGCGUUGUAGUGGGGUGUGGAGGUGGUGUAGUGGGGUGUGGAGGGGGUGUAGUGGGGUGUGGAGGUGUGUAGUGGUGUGUGGAGGUGGUGUAGUGGGGUGUGGAGGUGGUGUAGUGGUGUGUGGAGGUGUGUAGUGGUGUGUGGAGGUGGUGGAGUGGGGUGUGGAGGCGUGUGGAGGUGUUGUAGUGGGGUGUGGAGGUGGUGUAGUGGGGUGUGGAGGGGGUGUAGUGGGGUGUGGAGGUGUGUAGUGGUGUGUGGAGGUGGUGUAGUGGUGUGUGGAGGUGUGUAGUGGUGUGUGGAGGUGGUGUAGUGGUGUGUGGAGGCGUGUGGAGGUGGUGUAGUGGUGUGUGGAGGCGUGUGGAGGUGGUGUAGUGGUGUGUGGAGGCGUGUGGAGGUGGUGUGUGG